AUACGGAGGAUCCGAGCGUUAUCCGGAUUUAUUGGGUUUAAAGGGAGCGUAGGCGGACGCUUAAGUCAGUUGUGAAAGUUUGCGGCUCAACCGUAAAAUUGCAGUUGAUACUGGGUGUCUUGAGUACAGUAGAGGCAGGGGGGAUUCGGGGGGUAGCGGUGGAAUGCUUAGAUAUCACGAAGAACUCCGAUUGCGAAGGCAGCCUGCUGGACUGUAACUGACGCUGAUGCUCGAAAGUGUGGGUAUCAAACAGGAUUAGAUACCCUGGUAGUCCACACAGUAAACGAUGAAUACUCGCUGUUUGCGAUAUACAGUAAGCGGCCAAGCGAAAGCGUUAAGUAUUCCACCUGGGGAGUACGCCGGCAACGGUGAAACUCAAAUGAAUUGGCGGGG
rnacentral:rRNA from 1 species